rnacentral:rRNA from 1 species
AGCGCCGUUGAUACUGUGAAGCUAGGAUUUGGUUGCUGUGGGCGGAAUGUGUGGUGUAGCGGUGAAAUGCAUAGAGAUCACACAGAAUAUCGAUUGCGAAGGCAGCUCACAAAGCCAAUAUUGACGCUGAGGCACGAAAGUGUGGGGAUCAAACAGGAUUAGAUACCCUGGUAGUCCACACUGUAAACGAUGAUAACUCGCUGUCGGCGAUAGACCGUCGGUGGCCAAGCGAAAGCGAUAAGUUAUCCACCUGGGGAGUACGACCGCAAGGUUGAAACUCAAAGGAAUUGACGGGGGCCCGCACAAGCGGAGGAACAUGUGGUUUAAUUCGAUGAUACGCGAGGAACCUUACCCGGGCUCGAACGGUGCAUGAAUAAUACAGAGAUGGAUUAGUCCUUCGGGACAUGUAUCGAGGUGCUGCAUGGUUGUCGUCAGCUCGUGCCGUGAGGUGUCGGCUUAAGUGCCAUAACGAGCGCAACCCUUGUCAUUAGUUACCAUCAUGUCAAGCUGGGGACUCUAGUGAGACUGCCACCGUAGGGUGUGAGGAGGGGGGGGAUGACGUCAAAUCAGCACGGCCUUUAUGUCCGGGGCGACACACGUGUUACAAUGGGAGGUACAGAGGGCAGCCAGUUAGUGAUAACGCGCCAAUCUCAAAAACCUUUCUCAGUUCGGAUUGGAGUCUGCAACUCGA